rnacentral:rRNA from 2 species
AAAUUGAAGAGUUUGAUCAUGGCUCAGAUUGAACGCUGGCGGCAGGCCUAACACAUGCAAGUCGAACGGUAACAGGAAACAGCUUGCUGUUUCGCUGACGAGUGGCGGACGGGUGAGUAAUGUCUGGGAAACUGCCUGAUGGAGGGGGAUAACUACUGGAAACGGUAGCUAAUACCGCAUAACGUCGCAAGACCAAAGAGGGGGACCUUCGGGCCUCUUGCCAUCGGAUGU